UACAGAGGUCUCAAGCGUUGUUCGGAUUCAUUGGGCGUAAAGGGUGCGUAGGCGGCGCGGUAAGUCGGGUGUGAAAUCUCGGGGCUUAACUCCGAAACUGCAUUCGAUACUGCCGUGAUUGAGGACUGGAGAGGAGACUGGAAUUCCUGGUGUAGCGGUGGAAUGCGCAGAUAUCAGGAGGAACACCGGUGGCGAAGGCGGGUCUCUGGGCAGUAACUGACGCUGAGGAGCGAAAGCGUGGGGAGCGAACAGG
rnacentral:rRNA from 1 species